rnacentral:lncRNA from 1 species
GAAAUUAGAGAGAGAGAGAAAGACAAAGAGAGUUCAUCUUGUUCUUCUCCAAAUCUUGAAAAGUUUCUUCUAUUCGCGCAAAUCUACUCUGAUUAAGUUGUUAUCUAGCAGAAAGGCUACCUACCGGUGUAAUUUUCUUGAGGAGCAAAGGCCUUGAACACUUGUUUCUAGUUUCCUUGGAAAGGUAUACAUGCUGGAACCUUGACUCUCCGAUUAAAUUCACGAUUAGUUGCUAAAUAUGUCACAUAUGGUUGAAUUAUUGAGGUAUGUGGUGAAAUAGAGGCUUGGGUCAUGAUUUUCCAUUUUAUUGGAAUAUUUUUCAGCUUUCCUAUGAUUUUUCUAGUGCUUAAAAUUUGGGGCUUUGAUGUUUAAGGUUUAAUAUGGGAAGUUAAGAUGGUGAAGCAAGCCAAAAACAAAGAAGUUAGCAAUUGAUUAUAAGAAUUCCAGAUUUCUGGAAUUUCAUGUUUCACUUCUGUCCGGUUUUGUAGCCUUAUCUUAGAGGCCGAAUUGGCUUUAGGUCAAAGAAGAAAAGUUGUAGAGAAUGGUGUUUUAUAGGUGCCUAUAAAAUUUCAGCUCAAUCGGAGCAACGUAGGAUGUGAAAAGUCCAAAAUACCCUCACUGUUUUAAAAAUUUCCCAGCAGUCCGUUUCAUCAGUUAAGUCCAGUUUAUCACGUUUUUUUGACUAGUAUUCAUUCUGAUUUAGCUUUUUUCCAAAACAUGAAAGUUGUAGUAUUCUGAAUUAUCUUUCAAAUGCCUCUAAGAAAACCUGAUUCGGACUUGUGUACUCUGAGAUAUGUCCAUUACAGUGUAAUGCAUUUAAACAGCCGACGAAUUGAUUUCUGGUUUAGUAAUUUGAGAAUUUGACCAAGUUACAUUAGAAACUGGACUAAGUGACCUUCAUGAACAUUGUAUCCCUGUGUCUUAGCUUCGAAACGGCAUAAGUUGUGUCUUAAUCCGAUAAGCGUAGCCUCGGAUAAGUUAUUUCCGCUUUCAUACGUCAAAUCUGUCUUUUGCUAAAUUGAAUUUCUGCACUUGUUAUUUCUGUAUUUCUUAUUCUUAUGAUAUUGUGAGCCUAUGGAACGGCUCUUGACUUGAAUUGCUUAUGUGUGAUGUUGGGUUGUGGUUGAGGAAAAAUAAUGAAGCCAAAAUGGCUGGAAAAUUAGGUAAACACAAAGGGCAUGCUGCCCAAAUUUUCGCCCGAAAGCUAAGGUUUAUUUGAACUUGUAAAAUACUAUGACCGUUUUUCCAUCUUAAAAACAUGAUCCUUCUUCAAUUGGAAACUCCAAAUGUUUACUUACUCUUACCAAAUAAAGAGGAGUAGUUUAGGAUUUUCUUGAGUAUUUUGUCCUCUCUUUUUCAUGAAUUUCAUUAAGACAAUUAGUCUAUAAUAUCUACUUGAAUAUAAGAUAAGUUUCAACCACAUAAACGAUUCCGAAAAUGGUAUUUCCUAGUCUAUCUAGUUGGAUUUUGAUUUGUCUUUAGUUCAAGUGUUUCCAUUAGAAAAUUUUAUAACCCUUUUGAGUUGGUUUUAUGUGUGGUCUAUGAAACCCUAGUUGUUUUUAUCCACGAGUCCAAAUGUCCAUGUUCCACUUUAAAGUCUUUUUAUACGUUCUACUCAUCAUGCGACGAGUCUCUUUGAUUGCACCUAAUUGGUUGUGACAAAUGAGUGGUAAUAUUCUUUUCAUUUAAUCUUAGGUUUUCUCGGUGACUAAAGAUAAUAUCCGGAAGGAUAUUUUGCACGUUGUUGUGCGUAAAUAGGUGAGUGUUCUAUAUACGUUUUGUUCCUAUGACUAUGUGGAUUGUUGGAUCUAUGUGGUUAUUUGUGACUAUUUGAUUACAUGUUACUUGUUUUCUAUGAUUAUUAAAAUGAACUUUUGCUAGGUGAGUGUGUACUUUAUCGCACUCGACCUAAAUAAAUAUGAAAUUUUCGGUGAUUAAAUGUUGAAAUACUAGUUGCGCAUGAAUGUAAGCCUUUUGGCUGAACUGGGCCCUUGCCCUUGUUACCGGUCGUCUCGAGCCAGAAGCGGACUCGGUCGAGCGAUUAGGAACCUGGGUGAAUUUAGUAUACUCGAGUAUUACCUUGUAGACCGGCCAUGUCCGGGUAGGUGGAGUCCGGCCAACGUCCGGAAAGGGAUGAAUGAACGAACGCAGGCACGAGGGUUUUACUUCUCAAAAAGGAAAUUUUCAAAUAAUUGGAGGAAUAAGGGAAAAUGUCAGGGGAACGAACGAACGAACAAAGAAGCUCCUUGGGAGCCCGUAUCCUUUUAAUGAAUGCAUUAUCAUUGCUUUAUAUUGGACAUGUUUUCUGGAUUAAUUGUUAUUACAUGACUACUGUUCCUUGUUUAAUUACUUGUUUAUAUAUAUAGAACCUCACUGGGCUUUUUAGCUCAUACCACGUCAAUUGUUUUCCUUAGCAGGGGAAGGCGAGCAAGGACGAGCG